rnacentral:ncRNA from 1 species
GGCACAGCACUUGCUCCACUCCUGAGGCUUGCGGUCCAACGGCGGAUCGCCCCGACAACCAACCAUCGACAAUGGCGUCGC